rnacentral:piRNA from 1 species
UGCAUGUAUUUCUGUGCACCAUGUGCAUCCA